GCGGAGGAAAAGAAACCAACAGGGAUUGCCCUAGUAACGGCGAGUGAAGCGGCAACAGCUCGAAUUUGAAAUCUGGCCUCGGCCCGAGUUGUAAUCUGUAGAGGAUGCUUUUGGCGCGGUGCCUUCCGAGUGCCCUGGAACGGGACGCCACAGAGGGUGAGAGCCCCGUAUGGUCGGACACCAAGCCUCUGUAAAGCUCCUUCGACGAGUCGAGUAGCUUGGGAAUGCUGCUCUAAGUGGGAGGUAAACUUCUUCUAAAGCUAAAUAUUGGCCAGAGACCGAUAGCGCACAAGUAGAGUGAUCGAAAGAUGAAAAGCACUUUGAAAAGAGGGUCAAAUAGUACGUGAAAUUGUUGAAAGGGAAGCGCUCAUGACCAGACUUGCGCCGGGUUGAUCAUCCAGUGGUCUCCACUGGUGCACUCUGCCCGGCUCAGGCCAGCGUCGGCUGUCGCGGGGGGACAAAAGCUCUGGGAACGUAGCUCUCUCCGGGGAGUGUUAUAGCCCUCUGCAGAAUACCCCCACGGCGGCCGAGGUCCGCGCUCUGCAAGGACGCUGGCGUAAUGGUCAUCAGCGACCCGUCUUGAAACACGGACCAAGGAGUCGAGGUUUUGCGCGAGUGUUCGGGUGGAAAGCCCCAGCGCGUAAUUAAUGUGAACGCAGGUGAGAGCUUCGGCGCAUCAUCGACCGAUCCUGAUGUAUUCGGAUGGAUUUGAGUAGGAGCGUAAAGCCUCGGACCCGAAAGAUGGUGAACUAUGCCUGUAUAGGGUGAAGCCAGAGGAAACUCUGGUGGAGGCUCGCAGCGGUUCUGACGUGCAAAUCGAUCGUCAAAUAUGGGCAUGGGGGCGAAAGACUAAUCGA
rnacentral:misc_RNA from 1 species